UAGACGAUAUGCAAGACCAGACAUCAUUGGCAUUUUACUUGACAGUGGUUGUCAAGCAAACGAAAAAGAUCCACAGGGUCAAACUGCAUUACACUACGCCGUUGAAAGGGGCCACGACGAGAACAUACAAGUUUUACUGAAAGGGGGAUGUAUUCCAGAUCAGAAAGAUAACUUGGGGAAAACAGCAUUGCAUGCAGCUGCUUUCGAAUUCUCCGCAAAUCAAAAUAUUGUUCAAAUUUUAUUAGAUGGUGGUUGUAAACCAAACGUAACAGACAACGAGGGUAAAACGGCAUUACAUUACGCUGCUGCAUAUGGUGAUCAUGAGAAAGUCAAGGUAUUAAUCAAAGGUGGCUGUAAUCCAGACCAAAUAGAUAAUAAG